UACGAAGGGGGCUAGCGUUGUUCGGAAUUACUGGGCGUAAAGCGCACGUAGGCGGAUACUUAAGUCAGGGGGUGAAAUCCCGGGGCUCAACCCCGGAACUGCCUUUGAUACUGGGUAUCUCGAGUCCGGAAGAGGUGAGUGGAAUUCCGAGUGUAGAGGUGAAAUUCGUAGAUAUUCGGAGGAACACCAGUGGCGAAGGCGGCUCACUGGUCCGGUACUGACGCUGAGGUGCGAAAGCGUGGGGAGCAAACAGGG
rnacentral:rRNA from 1 species